rnacentral:lncRNA from 1 species
CUGAUAACACGACAGCGUCCUUCUUCCUGAACUGGGGUGGAUUUUGUAACUGCCUCAAUCAACAGAAUGCACAGGAGUGAUGUUUUGUGACUGUCAGUGCCAGAUCAUAAAAGAUGUGACUUCCUCCUGGUUCUGUCUCCCUUCUCCUUUGGACUCAGCCACUAUGUUGUGAGGAAGCCUAGGCCACAUGGAGAGGCCACAUAGAUGUGUUCCAGGCAGCAGCCCCAGCAAAGGUCUCAAUCAACCACCAUAUGUGUGAGUGAAGGAACCUUCAGAUAAUUUUGCUUCCCAGACUUCAAGUCUUUCAGCUGGGGUCCAAGACAUCACAAGGCAGAGACAAGCCCUCCUGGAAUUCCCCACCCACCGUGAGCAUAAGAAAACUUGAAAGCGGUGUAAAUGGCUCUUAUCUGAACCACAAUGAAUUCACAUAUUCAAGUUGGCUUCUUCGGAAAUUUCAGGCCACAAAUGGCAGUGAUGCGACCAGGAGCAGUAACACGAUUACAAGUCGCAAUUUAGGAAGGGUGCUCCAUCAUCAUUUCAUGAUUCUCACUACAGCCCAGACAGGUGGGCAGAGCAGUGUUCUUUCCCCUUUAAUGAAUGAAGAAGCUGAGCCUCAAACAGAUGAGGGGGCUUCCUGGGUUCACAGAGCUCUAAAGGGCUGAGCUGUAGAUCCACGGCCACCAUGAUGAGCUAAGAGUUUCUGGAUUCAGUGCCUGCUGUUGCUCCUGGAGAUUUGUAUCCUGAUUGAAGGCUGGUUCCAUAUCUGUUCACCCAGUCACCUUUAAAAUUAAGUCCUGGGCACAAAUCAUUAGUCUGGCAAGUUACAUCACUGUGCCACUUCCAUCCGGACAGAAGGAACCCAGGUCAAGGCUGACAGGAGGAGCAGGAGCCGUCAAUGAGAGCAGACCUCAGAAGCCAACGGAGGUGAGAAGAGCACCAUCCACAGCCCCAUCCUCUGAAUGCUGUGGGAAGAAGUCCACAAAAUACCACCCCUUGGAGUCAGUCAGUAGUAGAGCCCUUGCUGCUGGCUGCAAAUACCCCAUCAGAACAUGUUUGGGGUGAUUCUUGGACCUGGUUUCAAUUUCUUUUCUGCCAGUCAGCAGUUGUGCUUGACUCACAAUUUGUUGCCAUCUCUUGAAUUAAACUCAGGAAACAGGAUAAAGAUCAGAACCACAUUGUAAAAGCUUCCUUAUGGUUCAUUUUUUGCUGAGAUAAAUAAUGAGCAGCUCUGAUCCAUGUCUCUGGAGAGCUCAGAGCACACUACCAGGAGCUCCUAGCCACAGGGUGAGCACAGGUGGCUGGUGUUCUCUUGAUGAGGAAAGACAGCAGUGUCCAAUCUACCCUGCCUUACACGGAGCCCCAGGUGCUCUCCCGGACUGUGUUGCUACCUAAAGCACAUGGCAAUUGCAUGAUGCUAACCAGAGCAGCCCCUCACUCAUUAGAAACAUCUGCUUUGCAUUAUUUACACAGGCAAAGUUUUCCUUUUUACUGAGCCUACCCAGUUCAAACUUAAGUGGGAUUUGCCAGCUAUCUGGCUAAUUUUAUGAGCAAUAAUAAAGAUUGGUGAACACUUGG